GCUUAUCACCAUUCCAGAUUGAAUAUACCCGAUCUCGUCUGAUCUCGGAAGUCAAGCAAUCUCGGGCUUGGUUAGUACUUGGAUGGGUGACCGCUUGGGA
rfam:Ciona savignyi cont_34636, whole genome shotgun sequence.